GACGAACGCUGGCGGCGUGCCUAAUACAUGCAAGUCGAGCGGACCAAAGGGAGCUUGCUCCUGGAGGUUAGCGGCGAACGGGUGAGUAACACGUGGGCAACCUGCCUGUAAGACUGGGAUAACAUCGAGAAAUCGGUGCUAAUACCGGAUAAUAAAAAGAACUGCAUGGUUCUUUUUUGUAAAGAUGGUUUCGGCUAUCACUUACAGAUGGGCCGCGGCGCAUUAGCUAGUUGGUGAGGUAACGGCGUCACCAAGGCAACGAUGCGUAGCGACCUGAGAGGGUGAUCGGCCACACUGGGACUGAGACACGGCCCAGACUCCUACGGGAGGCAGCAGUAGGGAAUCUUCUGCAAUGGACGAAAGUCUGACGGAGCAACGCCGCGUGAGUGAUGAAGGUUUUCGGAUCGUAAAACUCUGUUGUUAGGG
rnacentral:rRNA from 1 species